rnacentral:lncRNA from 1 species
AGGCACCACACGCCUACUGAAGGGAUGUUUGGGGCAAAACUUAUUGCUAAAAGUUGUUAGGAGAAACAAUUGGUUAUGAACCUACCUGUUGGGUAUAAAAUACCCCCAGUCGAAGUUUGUAAAAGGCCAACCCUUCCAGGGCUCUUCCGGCUUCCGACCUUGUGUGGCAUCUUUCUGAACUCCCUCGACCGUCCGAGCUUCCAUAAUACCAUCUGGACUUCUUCGAUAAUGAGCUCCUCCAUUCAUAUACCGGGCUGCUCCAAAUGCUUUUCGAGCUUCACUAUCAGUCAAUUUUCUACAGUGAUCGACUAUUCUCCGAAUCUCUUCCAGACUCCUUCCGACCAUGAAUGACUUUACUACGAACUUCUUCCGGGCUUCGUCAAUGUCGAGCUUCUCCAACAGUAGGACUUCUAUAGUAACCAGACUCCAUCCAAAUUUCUACGGUGGUCGAUCGCCUUUCGAAUUUCAUCCGAGCUCCUACAAGAGCUAGAUCCCAGCCGAACUUCUACAGCAGAUGGAUUCGAG